rnacentral:lncRNA from 1 species
CUUAACCUGCUCAUGUCACUUGCAGAGGAACUGCCCCACCUGCCUUGCACAGCCCUGGUGGACCAUCUGACUAAAACAUAUGCUCAACUGACGGCUCCCCAGGCCUCUCUCGAUAGAGAAAAGAGGCCCAGGCCGGGGACUGAAGAUGGAGGGACUGACUCCACGGGGCCAGAAGAGACUGGCCAAGGCAGUCCUCAAGCUUCUGAGCCCACAGAACCGAGGCUGACCUGGAAAGCAGCUGGGGUCUGCCCACUGAACCCAUUCCUGGUGCCCCUGGACCUCCUGAGCCAGGCCCUCGCCCCUGCCAGGUGAAGGAUGCAGCAGGCUGGCUAUGCUGGUUUCUUUCUACAUCGUCUGUCCAGCACUGGUACUGGUGUCGGGAACGUGAUUGUGGCUUCCUGACAGUGUCCGGCCAUAGGCAAGCCCUUCAGACACUGCAUGCACUAGUAGCCUGGAAAGUGAAGCACAGUUGAAGGAAGGGGUUUAACUAUUGGGGAUUUGAGACUGCACAAAGGCGGAAUUCCUGGGCUGGUAGAUUGCGGCAAGUGUCCCUGGCCCCGCUGUGCCUGGUUCUCUGCCAUAAGAGUACCACAUCAUCAUCCCUUUGUGCAUGGCACUCGAACCCACCCCCAGCACACCCUCCCCACCUCAACUGACCACUGUACCAUCCUCUUCGCCCUUCUCUGGGUGUCCUGUGACCCUCAAUAAAGCUGUCAUCUAACUAGC